UUUAUGAAUUCUGCUUAUCAAGCUGCGUUUGGAUUUUUUUGGAGUCGCUUACACUUUUGUAUUACCGUUUUUGGCUUCGCGUUGCAGCGCUUUGGCCUCGCUUCGUUUGCAGCUUGAAUUUUGGCUUGUUAUGCAGUUUGGCUUCAGGUCUAUGUAGCUUGCGUUGUUUGUUUUGCUUCGGAGCUUGUAGCUGCUUGAAGUGGCUUGCACUUGGUAUAUGUUAGCUGCAGCAGUUGGCGCUUGACGCAGCUUUGGAGUUGUUUUGGUCUGUCAUGCUGUUUUUGGAUUACGCUUUGGAAGCUUGGUUGUUCGUGAAGCUUGUUUUGCACUGUAGUAGCAGCUUGCCGCAACCGUGUUUGGUUUGCAAUUGGUGGAGUCAUGGCUUGUGUGCGUUAGCCUGUACUAUGGCUUGUUGUUGGUGUUAUGGAGUUCGAAGUGUUGUACUGCUGUUUGGUUUGAGUUAUGUUCGUGUAGCAGCUUUUGCCUGCGUUUGGAAUUGGCUCACUUUGGAAGUUGUUUUGUUGCAGCAGCGUUUU